rnacentral:rRNA from 1 species
UACGUAGGGACCGAGCGUUGUCCGGAAUCAUUGGGCGUAAAGAGCGUGUAGGCGGCCACUUAAGUCCUGCGUGAAAUCUUGCGGCUCAACCGCAAGCGGUCGUGGGAAACUGGGUGGCUAGAGUGCGGGAGGGGAGAAUGGAAUUCCCGGUGUAGCGGUGAAAUGCGCAGAUAUCGGGAGGAACACCGGUGGCGAAGGCGGUUCUCUGGGCCUUACCUGACGCUGAGGAGCGAAAGCGUGGGGAGCGAACAGG